GUAAAACAUGAUAAUUUACCUGGUUCCUAAAAUCUUUCAAGGUCAAAGCCUUGAUGGACUUGACCAUGUGAGGCGGACAAUCUUUCAUCAGUCUGAUAUGGUUUGAUGCUACUCUGGUUUAAAGAUUUAAUGAAUGUAAGCGAGAAGUUCAUAGACCCUAGGAAUUGAUAGAGCCCACAAUUCAUAGACCCUUCUCGGUUACAUUCAUUAAAUCUUUAAGGUAGAGUAGCAUCAAACCAUGUCUGAUUGCCCACCUGGUUGCCAUGUGAACUUUAAUAUAUUUGAUCAGUCUUUUCGUCGCUAAGUCCAUCAGUCAAUUAAUCAAACCUUUUCCUAAAACGACUCAACAUAUUAUUAUCCACGGAAACUGCUUCAUAAAAAUUAGUCAUAUUACUAUUGUUCAUUGUCAUAUGUCAAAUGGGAUAACUGCUCUCUGAUAGGCUGUAAUUUCUGCGCCAUUUCUUAGAAACUGUUACUCCUGUGAACAUUACUAUCAGAACACACCACAAAAAAAGACCACGUAAGGAGUCGAAGAUCUCCUCAGAAAAUUUUGCUAUAUUGCAGAGGGUAAAUCGUUCUAAAUCGUGCUGAGAUGAUUAUGAACUUGAAACUUCAGCGAGAGAAGGUCGCUCAUGCAAAAAGCCUUUAUCGUGCACAUAGAGACCUCUUUCCAUAUAGUAAGGAGAAUUCCAUUCCGACGUCGUAUCGAGAAGGUCAGCUCCAGUAUUACGGGUUAUUUUAGCCUGUUCUAGGCGCUCAGUUAAUGAAACGAUUGUAAACGACGCAAUAGUUACAGACGAGUGAAAUCGAGGAAGGUUUGGCUCGGGAUCGUUACGUGAACCAACCAAAUUCCUCUGGUUGUUUUCGCUCCACCGCCGCUUUAAUCGCACUGUUUAGAAAUGCGCUGUUCCCUAUUCCGCUGUUUUAUUACCAGUUGCUUGUUUGGAACGGUUUAGGUCUGUUUUCUAUCUUUUGUUGGCUAGAUUUAUAUAUUUCUUACAUUGAUUUUAGGUUGUCUUUACGGAUCGUACAUUUUCGCAGCUCUGAUUUAUGUCAUAACAACACUUCAUUUCAUGAAGUGCCACAGGGACCACAUGCUCCAGCUUUACCGUGGAGAUAGACGCCUAAUGCAAAAUGUUUGCCUCUCGCCGGCCUCUUUUGUGGGGAGAAGUUUGAGUUAUACCGGAUACCAAAUCGCCUAUUCCGUGAUCGGUAUGUAUGGUGUUCCUCAAACUUAA